AUUGAACGCUGGCGGCAGGCCUAACACAUGCAAGUCGAGCGGAUGAAGGGAGCUUGCUCCUGGAUUCAGCGGCGGACGGGUGAGUAAUGCCUAGGAAUCUGCCUGGUAGUGGGGGAUAACGUCCGGAAACGGGCGCUAAUCUCGCAUACGUCUUGAGGGAGAAAGUGGGGGAUCUUCGGACCUCACGCUAUCAGAUGAGCCUAGGUCGGAUUAGCUAGUUGGUGGGGUAAAGGCCUACCAAGGCGACGAUCCGUAACUGGUCUGAGAGGAUGAACAGUCACACUGGAACUGAGACACGGUCCAGACUCCUACGGGAGGCAGCAGUGGGGAAUAUUGGACGAUGUGCGAAAGCCUGAUCCAGCCAUGCCGCGUGUAUGAAGAAGGUCUGCGGAUUGUAAAGCACUUUAAGUUGGGAGGAAGGGCAGUAAGUUAAUACCUUGCUGUUUUGACGUUACCAACAGAAUAAGCACCGGCUAACUUCGUG
rnacentral:rRNA from 1 species